ensembl:lncRNA
UCACGUACAUGCACGACAAAUUGGCACACAUAUGUAAAGCAUCAGUACCUACAAAAAAGACUCUUGGAGCAAUAUCCGAAACCCAACAGGAAGUCGGUUAUUUUUAAUUUUAUGAGCAAAUUUUGCAUCAUUUUUGUCAUUUGCAUGCCUUGUAUUUUAACGAACUCCUCCUAGAGAUUUAUUCAGAUCAACACCAAAUUUGGUAUGCCUAAUCUAAAGGCCUUUGCGAUGUUAAAUUGCGAAGAUCUUGAGUUUUCGUUGAAGGGCGUGUCCGUGGCGGCCUGACGAAAUUUCGAUGAUUCGCCAUGAAAAAAAUGAAGUUGCUAUAACUCAGACAUACAAUGUCCAAUCUGGCCACAAACUUCACAUGUUUGAUAAGACUCCUGACCUGAACAGAUUGACAUGCCCAUAUUCAGUUAUUUAUUAUUCUAAUUUUUUUUCAAGGUUUCGGGGGCUUUUAGGGCCCUUAACAUGCUUAAAAAAAGUCUUGAAAAUUGGCACACACAUUGGAACCUGCGGCCAUUAGGGCCGGGCAGAGACUGAUACACGGGCGUGGCACAGGGGCUCUACAGCGCCCCCUGGAACAUGGAGGGCCAUAUAUCAUACAUACUUGCACGUAGACGUAUGAAACUCGGUACACAUAUAGAUCUCAUCAAUCCAAACAACUUUCGUAUUGCAUGUCAUAGGCUCCGCCCAACAGGAAGUUGGCUAUUUAGGGUUUAGUAUUCUGAUUUUUCCAUCAAAGUUUUGGGGGCUUUUGGGGCCCUUAACAUUCUCAAAAACUCUUGAAAAUUUGCUCACACCUUAGAAUCUGUGGCUAUUAGGAGGCUGCAGAGGCUGGGACCCGGGCGUGGCACAGGGGCUCUACGGCGCCCCCUGGAACACAGUCAGAAAUGUUGAUGUAUAGCUCACACAUACUUGCACGUAUUCAUAUGCAACUCAGUACACUUAUAGAUCUCAUUGUUCCGAACCACUUUUCGUAUUGCAUGUCAUAGGCUCCACCCAACAGGAAGUCAGCUAUUUAGAGCUAUGUAAAAAGCGCAUGCUCUGGAAUUUGAUAUACUUGUCAUAGGUUUUUUACCCGAUUGCCACCAAACUUGGUCAACAUGAUCUCAAGACAUUGGGCGAUGCAAAAAUUGCCAGGGGAUUUUUUUGAUAUCUCGAAUGGUUUGCUCGUGGCGAGGCGUUGAAAUUAUGGCGAGAAAUGAGAAACAGGAAGUGUCUAAUAACAUCCACAUACAUUUCCUGAUUUUAAUUAUACUUCAUCAAUUUGUUCGUUGUAUGAUGCCGCUCGCAUAUAUGUGACUAUUAGGAGUCAAAAUUAUAGCGCCACCAACUGGCAGCAGGAAGUGUGUCA